UACAUAUAUGUUAUUUACCGGCUGCGAGGUCCGGAUGAGAAAAACUGUGCCCGAGGCCCGAGCCCGAAGGGCGAGGGACGUUUUCAAGACCGAGGACACAGUUUUUCUCAUCCGGACCGACGCUGCCGGUAAAUAACGUGUUUAUU